rnacentral:rRNA from 1 species
CUACGGGAUGCUGCAGUGAGGAAUAUUGCACAAUGGGGGGAACCCUGAUGCAGCAACGCCGCGUGGAGGAUGACGCAUUUCGGUGUGUAAACUCCUUUUAUAUGUCAAGAAAAUGACGGUAGCAUAUGAAUAAGCUCCGGCUAACUCCGUGCCAGCAGCCGCGGUAAUAAGGAGGGAGCAAGCGUUACUCGGAAUCACUGGGCGUAAAGGACGCGUAGGCGGGAUAGAAAGUCAGGUGUGAAAUCCUAUGGCUCAACCAUAGAACUGCACUUGAAACUUCUAAUCUAGAGUAUGGGAGGGGGAGAUGGAAUUAGUGGUGUAGGGGUAAAAUCCGUAGAUAUCACUAGGAAUACCUAAAGCGAAGGCGAUCUCCUGGAACAUUACUGACGCUAAGGCGUGAAAGCGUGGGGAGCAAACAGGAUUAGAUACCCGCGUAGUC